AUGUGGCACAAGACCGGCAAUACCUUGUCGGUGAUGGUCAACGGCUGGCAGACGGGCAGCAAAAAGGUUAUGGUGCUGCACACCAACAAGAACUUCAACCAGCAGAGGACCAACUGGGUGAUGCACCAGUACCACCUCGGGGACCUGGAGCAAGAGAAGGAGCGGGAGCUGGUCCUCUGCAAGAUUUUCUACCAGACGAACACUAGGGCCAGGAGUCGAGCAACUUUCAACUGGGUUGUAGACUGCCCAGGCUUGGUUUUGUUUUUAACAGGCCCAGCCCAUGACGACAACCGGGCACAAAGAUCCAGCAGAAUAGAAGUAUCUAGAAGUAGUCAAACAGAUGUGACUUCUGGUUUUCUUGUUCUUCUUUUACUUGUCUCUAUUGUUCCUCAUCAAGUGAACAGAAACUGA
rnacentral:rRNA from 1 species